rnacentral:rRNA from 1 species
UACGGAGGGGGCGAGCGUUGUUCGGAAUCAUUGGGCGUAAAGAGCACGUAGGCGGCACGGUAAGUCCCAUGUGAAAGCCCUCGGCUCAACCGGGGAAGGGCAUGGGAAACUGUCGUGAUUGAGUGCGGGAGAGGAGAGUGGAAUUCCCGGUGUAGCGGUGAAAUGCGUAGAUAUCGGGAAGAACACCGGUGGCGAAAGCGGCUCUCUGGACCGUAACUGACGCUGAGGUGCGAAAGCUGGGGGAGCAAACGGG